GCACGGCUAAAAAUAGCUUCCGCGGAAGCCGCGGAAGCCGCCCGGCCUUAAGGCGCACUCUCAGCUGGCGCGCGUCCCCGCCGCCGGGGCUCGGGCUUCUGCGUUGAUUGCUGCAGCGGGGACCCGAGCCCUCCGCGUCCUGCUAGGUUCCUGCCCACACUCGGAAGCCCACUCGGGAUGAGGACAUUGAAGUUUGGAGACAGAUGCUCAUCCCUUGCCUAGAAUAACAUCGUGUUGAACCCAGGGUCUGCCAGACUAGAAACUCCCGUGCUUUCCACAUAACCUGUUCUCCUGAGUCAACAGGUUUUACAUGAGGAAAGAAAAGAUUCUCAAAAGAAGAGAAACUGUCCAGUUAGCGGGAAAAAGAAUAGAAGAUGCUUGCAAGAUAGAACUAAUAGAUAUCCACGAUGUUCAUUGACUGGCCUGUUUUCUCCUGGACAAAAAAGAAAAAAAGACUGCAAGCCGGUGAGAUAUCAGUUGAUUUGAGUUAUUCAGAAAUGAGCAAAAGAAUAAUGAUGCUUUGAAGUGGAUUUUGUCCUAUCUCUUUUUAGACUCAGAUGCUUUGAUUUGCCUGCAGAAAGGUAACAGUGAGUCCCCUCCUUGUUCCCUUUUCAUCUGUUUCAGGUUACUUCCAAGGUGGUGCCACU